rnacentral:rRNA from 1 species
AGUGAACGCUGGCGGCGUGCCUAAUACAUGCAAGUCGAACGGAGUGGCGCACGGGUGAGUACUAUAAAGCUACUCUGCCCCUUGCUGGAGGGCAACAGUUCGCAAUGUCUGCUCAUACUCCAUCGCAAGGGAUGAGACUAUAUCGUAUCAGCUAGUCGGUGGGGUACCGGCCUACCGAGGCUAUGACGCGUAACUGGUCUGAGAGGAUGAUCAGUAACAUUGGAACUGGAACACGGUCCAGGCCCCUUCGGGAGUCAGCAGGAGGGAAUAUUGGCCAAGGGGGGAAACCCUGACGGAGCAACGCAUCUUGAAGGAUGAUACGUUGCGGAGCGUAAACGUCAUUUGUUACGUAAGCGGUACCUAACGAAUAAGCACCGGCUAACUUCGUGCCAGCAGCCGCGGUAAUUA